AUUGAACGCUGGCGGCAUGCUUUACACAUGCAAGUCGAACGGUAACGGGCCUUCGGGUGCCGACGAGUGGCGAACGGGUGAGUAAUGCAUCGGAACGUACCUUUCAGUGGGGGAUAACGUAGCGAAAGUUACGCUAAUACCGCAUAUUCUGUGAGCAGGAAAGCAGGGGGAUCGCAAGACCUUGCGCUGAUUGAGCGGCCGAUGUCAGAUUAGCUAGUUGGUGAGGUAAAGGCUCACCAAGGCGACGAUCUGUAGCGGGUCUGAGAGGAUGAUCCGCCACACUGGAACUGAGACACGGUCCAGACUCCUACGGGAGGCAGCAGUGGGGAAUUUUGGACAAUGGGGGCAACCCUGAUCCAGCCAUGCCGCGUGAGUGAAGAAGGCCUUCGGGUUGUAAAGCUCUUUCGGCCGGGAAGAAAUCGUAUGGGCUAAUACCCUGUGCGGAUGACGGUACCGGCAUAAGAAGCACCGGCUAACUACGUG
rnacentral:rRNA from 1 species